GGUUCGGUGGUGUAGUUGGUUUAUCACGUCAGUCUAACAUCUGAUAUUUCGUCAAGAGAGUUAGUGUUCACUGAAGGUCGGGAGUUCGAGCCUCCCCUGAAUCA